rnacentral:rRNA from 1 species
GACGAACGCUGGCGGCGUGCUUAACACAUGCAAGUCGAACGGAAAGGCCCUGCUUUUGUGGGGUGCUCGGGUGGCGAACGGGUGAGUAACACGUGUGUAUCCUGCUCUUGACUUUGGGAUAACUUCAGGAAACUGGGGCUAAUACCGGAUAGGAGCUCCUGCUGCAUGGUGGGGGUUGGAAAGUUUCGGCGGUUGGGGCUGGACUCGCGGCUUAUCAGCUUGUUGGUGGGGGAGGGGCUUGCCAAGGCUUUGACGGGUAGCCGGCCUGAGAGCGUGACCGGCCACAAUGCUCCUAAGGUACGGCCCAGUCUGCAACGGGAGGCAACAGUGGGAAGUAUUGCACAGUGGGCGGACGCGUGAUGCAGAGACGCCGCGUGCGGGAAGACGUCCUGUUGGUUGAGAACCGCUUUCGCCUGUGACGAAGCGGGAGUGACGGUAAUGGGUAAAGAAGCACCGGCUAACUACGUG